rnacentral:rRNA from 1 species
UACGUAGGGUGCGAGCGUUAAUCGGAAUUACUGGGCGUAAAGCGUGCGCAGGCGGUUCGUCGAGUCCGGUGUGAAAGCCCCGGGCUCAACCUGGGAAUGGCAUUGGAAACUGGCGGACUCGAGUGUGGCAGAGGGGGGUGGAAUUCCGCGUGUAGCAGUGAAAUGCGUAGAGAUGUGGAGGAACACCGAUGGCGAAGGCAGCAUCCUGGGCCAGCACUGACGCUCAGGCACGAAAGCGUGGGGAGCGAACAGG